rnacentral:misc_RNA from 1 species
UUCAACCCUCGCGCCUUUACGGCACGGGUGUUGGCCACCAGCUUGCCUCGGCGAGCUGGGGCCCAAAUUCAGUGGCGGUCUCGCUGCAGCCUCCCUUGCGUAGUAGCACACCUCGCAUUGGAGCGCGGCGCGGCCACGCCGUAAAACCCCAACUUUUAGAGUUUGACCUCGGAUCAGGUAGGAAUACCCGCUGAACUUAA